CCGCCAGGGUGUGGAGCCGCACUGGGGCAAGAUCAGGUGGGACAGCCCAAAGACUCCGGGCCAAGUUCCUGGGGGACUCGGCGGAGAUGGAAGAUGAUUCUCGAAGCUCUCCAUUUCCUUAAUUUUGAGGUAUCUUCAGUCCUUCUUCAAUGCUGUGACUGAGUGCUUGCUGAUUAUUGUGCUUGCUGAUCCUGACUAAUACUCUCUCUUGAUGAGCUUCAUAUUCAUCACGACUUGGAUAAAUUUUGCUGAUGAGUGCAUCAAACUUUGGGUCUGGCCUUGGUGAUCUUUUGGAAACUAGUUUUUUCCAACAGGUGGUUGGAUCUAGGAUGUAAACUGCAAGUGUGGCAGGCCGACUGCACUGUUUUGUUACUAGAGGGAGUGAGAACACACCUGUGGACUUGAGCACCUUCCAUUCACCAGUUGCUCCAUGGGCAUACUCUAAUUCAGGUCUCCCCACAACCCUCUGAGUUAAUAUUUCUCUCCCCAUUUUAAAGAUGAGAAAAUAAAGCCUAGACAGUUUAAC
rnacentral:lncRNA from 10 species